AUUUGUCUGGUUAAUUCCGAUAACGAACGAGACCUUAACCUGCUAACUAGAUUCUUUUGUUUUACAAAAGUUAUCUUCUUAGAGGGACUAUGUAAAUCAAUUACAUGGAAGUUUGAGGCAAUAACAGGUCAGUGAUGCCCUUAUAUGUCCUGGGCUGCACGCGUGCUACACUGAUGCAUACAACAAGUGCCUAACCAGAUAUGGUAUGGCAAUCUCGAAUAUGCAUCGUGAUGGGGAUAGAUCUUUGCAAUUAUAGAUCUUGAACGAAGAAUUCCUAGUAAGUGCAAGUCAUCAUCUUGCAUUGAUUAUGUCCCUGCCCUUUGUACACACCGCCCGUCGCUCCUACCGAUACCGGGUGAUCCGGUGAACCUUUUGGACCUUUACGGGGAAGAUAAGUAAACCAUAUCACCUAGAGGAAGGAGAAGUCGUAACAAGGUUUCCGUAGGUGAACCUGCRGAAGGAUCA
rnacentral:rRNA from 1 species